CGUAUAGGACUAACUUAGUAUUAUUCAAAAUUCCUAUUCAAAAAUUUAAUAAUGAAAAUAGAAACAUAUCGGAUAUAAUUCAUCAUCCAAAUAAGAGAGAUCGAUAAAAAGUUCAAGUUACUUAGAAUAAAUAAUACCCAUUCAAAGGUAAAUUUGCUGCCAAUUUUUUCAAAUUCAAAGCUAUUUUUGAGUGAUUUUGGAAAAACUCGAUUGUGUAUUAAAUUGAAGAGAUGAUAGAAAUUGCCGAAAUUUGGAGAUCGUCAUGGUUUUGCUGCAUAAUCGAAUGCUUAUUUCCAGUCGCAAAAUCAAGCCGAAAAUAAGAUUAAAAUCCUGAGAAUGAUGAUUUGGGUAUGGAUGAUGACUAGUUUAAAGAUGGCCAGGAUUCCUCGGAGCAUAUCCUUUGCCAGAUCGUAUAGUUAAAUGUCAAGUUCAGAGCCUUAGACGCCAUCUUAAUAUGGUGAUGUUAACAAAUGGUGUGAAGCUCUCGUCCUCAGGAAAUCUGAAUCUUCUCUUGCCUUAUGAUACUCAGGCAAAUGCUGCUCAAAAGGCAAAACUCGAAUUCAUGACCUUUAUCCUUAAAUAAGCCACCCUUCCUAAACCGAAAAAAGUAAAUAGAAAUAAUCUAUAUUAUGUAACUGCUAUAAAUCAUCUUAAUAGCUUAGUUCUUACCGCACCUUCAGUGUUCUUCCAAUUUGAUGAAUCAAUAUCAGAUGUAUGCUUCUGAAUAGACUUUUUGGUCUUUUUCUUGCUGGUAUUUUUUUUUGGCUGCUUGUGCUUC